CCUGCAAAACGUUCUAUCGCUGCUAACUUGUUUAGCGGAGGAAAGUCCGGGCAACACAGAGCAUCCUGCUUCCUAACGGGAAGGCACCGGCAGCCGGUGACAGCAAAGUGCCACAGAGAAAAUACCGCCGCAAUUUAUUGCGGUAAGGGUGAAAACGUGAGGUAAGAGCUCACGACAUUGCCGGGCGACCGGCGAUGAUGGUAAACCUCAGGAGUUGAAAAACCAAAUAGGUCUUGAAAGUGGGGCUGCUCGCUCCCGCUCACCAACUUGUUGGUGACGUUAAGAUGGGUAGGUUGUUUAAACCUGUCAGCAAUGGCAGGGCCAGAUUAAUGAUAGAAGUUGCCUUUACCGGCAAUACAGAACCCGGCUUACAGAUUUGCUGCUGAA
rnacentral:RNase_P_RNA from 1 species